rnacentral:rRNA from 1 species
ACUCAAAUGAAUAGACGGGGAUCCGCACAAGCAGUGGAGGAUGCGGUUUAAUUCGAUGAUACGCGAAGAACCUUACCGAGGCUUGACAUCCCGAUCGCACCCUUAGGAAACUUAGGGGUCAGUUCGGCUGGAUCGGUGACAGGUGCUGCAUGGCCGUCGUCAGCUCGUGUCGUGAGAUGUUGGGUUAAGUCCCGCAACGAGCGCAACCCUUGUCGUGUGUUGUAUUUUUCACGCGAGACCGCCCGGGCCAACCGGGAGGAAGGUGGGGAUGAUGUCAGGUCAGCAUGGCCCUUACGCCUCGGGCUACACGCGUCCUACAAUGGCAGGUACAACGAGUUGCUAAACCGCGAGGUGGAGCUAAUCUCAUCAAAACCUGUCUCAGUUCGGAUUGCAGGCUGAAACUCGCCUGCAUGAAGCUGGAAUUGCUAGUAAACGUGGGUCAGCAUACCACGUUGAAUACGUUCCCGGAUCUUGUACACACCGCCCGU